rnacentral:rRNA from 1 species
AGCGAACGCUGGCGGUAGGCCUAACACAUGCAAGUCGAACGGCAGCACAGUAAGAGCUUGCUCUUACGGGUGGCGAGUGGCGGACGGGUGAGGAAUACAUCGGAAUCUACUUUUUCGUGGGGGAUAACGUAGGGAAACUUACGCUAAUACCGCAUACGACCUACGGGUGAAAGCAGGGGAUCUUCGGACCUUGCGCGAUUGAAUGAGCCGAUGUCGGAUUAGCUAGUUGGCGGGGUAAAGGCCCACCAAGGCGACGAUCCGUAGCUGGUCUGAGAGGAUGAUCAGCCACACUGGAACUGAGACACGGUCCAGACUCCUACGGGAGGCAGCAGUGGGGAAUAUUGGACAAUGGGCGCAAGCCUGAUCCAACCAUACCGCGUGGGUUGAGAAGGCCUUCGGGUUGUAAAGCCCUUUUGUUGGGAAAGAAAAGCAGCAGGUUAAUACCCCGCUGUUCUGACGGUACCCAAAGAAUAAGCACCGGCUAACUUCGUG